CUGUGGAAGCUCAGGGUCACAGACCUGCUCAUCUGGAACAGCUGUGGACCUUACCUGCACAGAUCCUGAUGAUGUCAGACUGGUGGGAGGAGCCAGUCACUGUAACGGUAAAGUAGAGAUCAAACAUCAUGGAGCAUGGAGAUACUUGGGAUAUUAUAACUAUGACCCCUGGACCCUGAAGGCAGCAGAUGUCUUAUGUCAUCAACUGGACUGUGGAUGUGCUGUUUCUGGGAGAGAUUCUGGUCCAUCUAGUCCUGUGUGGUCCAUCAGCCACACCUGUCCUCUCUCUACAUCUGCACUGACGGACUGUGUGAGAACAUAUCCCUUUACUGCUGGCUCCACCCUAUUCCUCACCUGUUCAGACUCUGUCAGACUGGUCCAUGGGUUCCAGUC